rnacentral:miRNA from 1 species
CACUUCAGGAGGUGCCACUCAUGU